UGGGAAAUACGGUCGCAAGAUUAAAACUCAAAGAAAUUGACGGGGGCCCGCACAAGCGGUGGAGUAUGUGGCUUAAUUCGAUGCAACGCGAAGAACCUUACCUGGGCUUGACAUGCAUCGCUAAGGUGGUGAAAGCCGCCGAGGGUAGCAAUACCUACUUUGCACAGGUGCUGCAUGGCUGUCGUCAGCUCGUGUCGUGAGAUGUUGGGUUAAGUCCCGCAACGAGCGCAACCCUUAUGAACUGUUGCAGCGACGCAAGUCGCGCUCUCUGUUCAGACCGCCCUGUGAAACGGGGAGGAAGGUGGGGAUGACGUCAAGUCAGCAUGGCCCUUACGCCCAGGGCUGCACACGUACUACAAUGCCCAGUACAGAGGGAGCCGAGCCGGCGACGGUAAGGAAAUCCCAAAAAACUGGGCUCAGUUCAGAUUGCAGGCUGCAACUCGCCUGCAUGAAGCUGGAAUCGCUAGUAAUGCCGUAUCAGCUACGACGGCGUGAAUACGUUCCCGGGCCUUGUACACACCGCCCGUCACAUCAUGGAAGUCGCCCGCU
rnacentral:rRNA from 1 species